GCGGGUGGAAGAAACAAAUGUCUUUCCACUAUCGUUGCGAACAAAAAAACAAAAAUCGAGUGUGAGAGAGCGCAAGGAAGAGUGCAGCGGGGCAGGGGUAUAAUGGGAAACCAGAAGCAAAAAUGGACGGUGGAGGAGGAGGGGGGGCACUGCUAAACGGAGUAGCUAAGCACUGUCCUGGCAAGUGGAAGAACAUUCUCAAAGAACCCAAUUUUGCUCCUUUCCUCACUCAACGCUCCAACAUCGACCUCAAGUGCGACCUGAUGCUAGAGGAGAGAUACCGAUAAAGCGAGCAGACAUUGGAGGAGCGCAUGCAACAAAUGAUGCAAAAUAUAAUGGCGCAAAUGAUGCAGGGUACGCAGUUUACAGCGCCAGCUCCAAUUGUAACUCAUCAGGAUGAUGGUAGAAAGGCCGAUAGUAGUGAUUAGUGAUGAUAUUGUUUAUGACAAGUUGUUUGUUUUUUUGUUAUUAUGAUAUUUUAUUUUUUCAUACAGUACAUUAUUCUCAAAACACUUCACUGUCAUACCUAUAUAUAAUAUUGAUUGAUAUUUGAUA